rnacentral:rRNA from 1 species
CCUACGGGAGGCAGCAGUGAGGAAUAUUGGUCAAUGGACGAGAGUCUGAACCAGCCAAGUAGCGUGAAUGAUGACUGCUCUAUGGGUUGUAAACUUCUUUUAUAUGGGAAUAAAACGUUCCACGUGUGGGAUUUUGUAUGUACCAUAUGAAUAAGGGUCGGCUAACUCCGUGCCAGCAGCCGCGGUAAUACGGAGGAUCCGAGCGUUAUCCGGAUUUGUUGGGUUUAAAGGUAGCGUAGGUGGAUUAUUAAGUCAGUUGUGAAAGUUUGCGGCUCAAACGUAAAAUUGCAGUUGAAACUGGCAGUCUUGAGUACAGUAGAGGUGAGCGGAAUUCGAGGUGUAGCGGUGAAAUGCUUAGAUAUCACGAAGAACUCCGAUUGCGAAGGCAGUUCACUGGACUGCAACUGACACUGAGGCUCGAAAGUGUGGGUAUCAAACAGGAUUAGAUACCCUGGUAGUC